GGGGGCAGAGCUCAGGGGUAAGAGCACGUGCUUAGCGUGCAUGAGGCCUGGGUUCAGUCCCCGAAACCCCCA
rnacentral:tRNA from 1 species